CUGAAAAAAAAAAAAAAAAAAAAAAAAAAAAAAAAAAAAAA
rnacentral:ribozyme from 12 species